AUUGAACGCUGGCGGCAGGCCUAACACAUGCAAGUCGAACGAGUGGCGGACGGGUGAGUAAUGUCUGGGAAACUGCUCGUUGGAGGGGGAUAACUACUGGAAACGGUAGCUAAUACCGCAUACCAUCGGAUGUGCACAGAUGGGCUUGGCUUGUAGGUGGGGUAACGGCUCACCUAGGCGACGAUCCCUAGCUGGUCUGAGAGGAUGACCAGCCACACUGGAACUGAGACACGGUCCAGACUCCUACGGGAGGCAGCAGUGGGGAAUAUUGGACAAGGGGCGCAAGCCUGAUGCAGCCAUGCCGCGUGUAUGAAGAAGGCCUUCGGGUUGUAAAGUACUUUCAGCGAGGAGGCGUUACUCGAAGAGGAAGCACCGGCUAACUCCGUGCCAGCAGCCGCGGUAAUUC
rnacentral:rRNA from 1 species